UACGGAGGAUGCAAGCGUUAUCCGGAAUGAUUGGGCGUAAAGCGUCCGCAGGUGGCAGUUCAAGUCUGCUGUCAAAGACCGGGGCUCAACCUCGGAAAGGCAGUGGAAACUGAACAGUUAGAGUAUGGUAGGGGCAAAGGGAAUUCCUGGUGUAGCGGUGAAAUGCGUAGAGAUCAGGAAGAACAUCGGUGGCGAAGGCGGCUCACUGGUCCAUUACUGACGCUGAGGUGCGAAAGCGUGGGGAGCAAACAGG
rnacentral:rRNA from 1 species